UAGCUUAGUUGGUAAAGCGCUCGUCUAGCACACAAGAGUCCUGGGUUCAAAUCCCAG
rnacentral:tRNA from 1 species